CUUCUCGCUGUUUGGAAUAAAAAUGUCAAGAGUAAAAUAUAAAAAAGUAUGUCAAGAGUACAAUAUAAAAAAGUUUAACAUUACGUAUAAAAUUCACUAUUUUCAAAUCAAUUUAAAAUAUUUAAGUGUGAAUAGGAUUUUGUUGGGUGACCUCUAGUACCGAAUUGAACGAUCCAUUUUGACAAAUACAUUGUUGCAUUGAUGAAUCUAAGGGACCACAUGUAAUAGAGUCUUCAUUAAUGCAUUUACUAAAUAUAAUUCAAGUAAAUACUAAAUAUUAUUAAUGAAAAACAAAGUAAUUUUAAAUCAAAUCAAAAGAAAAUUACCGAAAGCACCGUCGUUUGCGUUCAUUCCACCUUUUUUCCACUCAAUUACUUCUUUCAAAGUUGAUGGCUUCGAUGGCUUCCGCCGAACAAUUUAAGAAACCUUUGACUGAAGACCAUAAAGUUCAAAUGCAAUUGGCUGAGAUCACCAAAACCAGCUGUGCUGAAGACCACCUACUCUUUGCCUCUCAGGUCCUUCCCAUGCAGAGAAUAACUCGAGCCCUACUUUUCUACAUUCUUACAUGACACGCGUCUUUAUUCGCAAUUCCAAAUGCCCUGCCGCCGUGAAAAAAAAAAAACAUUACAUCCACCUUUUUCCCGUGAGCAUGAUAACAAGUGUAGAAACUGAUACAUACGAACAAGAACUCUCGCGUAGCAGCCCGACUUUAAUUGGAUCUACUACUGAUGGCCGUCAGCGUUCCCUUGUCCAUGACCAUGCCACGCUAGAUCAGUAUAAAAACAAAGCUUCGGCUUUCCCCACGCGUCAUGCCAGCUGCAACUGCCAUGGAGUCCGUGUUGCGAACAUGUCGGACUUCGUGGGUCCCUCCAUUUUCUCUACCCGUCCCGCACUUAAUUCUGUUUAUUAUUGUUUUUGGUGGGAACCAC
rnacentral:lncRNA from 1 species